UCUGGUGGCAAUAGCGAGAAGGUAACACCUGUUCCCAUUCCGAACACAGAAGUAAAGCUUCUUAGCGCUAAAAGUACUUGGGCGGGCAACCCCCUGGGAGGAUAAGACGCUGCCAGAU
rnacentral:rRNA from 1 species